AGAGUUUGAUCCUGGCUCAGGACAAACGCUGGCGGCGUGCAUUAGGCAUGUAAGUCGCACGGAUCGCCUUCGGGUGGUCAGUGGCAGACGGCUGAGGAAGACGGACGAAACCUACCCUUCGGAGGGGGAUAACUCCGCGAAAGCGGGGCUAAGACCGCGUACGCUCGCUGGGGGGAGAACCCAGCGAGGAAAACGGCGACGUGCCGAGGGAGGGGCGUCCGGCCCAUCAGGUAGUUGGCGGGGUAAGAGCCCACCAAGCCGAUGACGGGUCGCUGGUCUGAGAGGAUGACCAGCCAGACUGGGACUGAGACACGGCCCAGACUCCUACGGGAGGCAGCAGCUAGGAAUCUUGCGCAAUGGGCGAAAGCCUGACGCAGCGACGCCGCGUGGGGGACGACGGUCUUCGGAUUGUAAACCCCUUUUGGGUGGGACGAGGAAGGACGUACCACCUAAAGAAGCCCCU
rnacentral:rRNA from 1 species